AUUAGCUUGUUGGUGAGGUAACGGCUCACCAAGGCUGUGAUGGCUAGCUGGUCUGAGAGGAUGACCAGCCACACUGGGACUGAGACACGGCCAGACUCCGUACGGGAGGCAGCAGGUGGGGAAUAUUGCGCAAGUGGGCGAAAGCCUGACGCAGCGACGCCGCGUGGGUGAUGAAGGCCUUCGGGUCGUAAAGCCCCGUCGCAGGGGAAGAAUAAGCAUCGGUAUAAUACGCCGGUGCCCUGACGGUACCCUGCAAGAAAGCACCGGCUAACUCCGUG
rnacentral:rRNA from 1 species